CCCUUAGAUGUUCUGGGCCGCACGCGCGCUACACUGAUGCAUUCAACGAGUUUUUCCUGGUCCGAGAGGAAUGGGUAACCUUUUGAAAGUGCAUCGUGAUAGGGAUAGACUAUUGCAAUUAUUGGUCUUCAACGAGGAAUUCCUAGUAGACGUAGUUCAUCAGACUGCAUCGAUUACGUCCCUGCCCUUUGUACACACCGCCCGUCGCUCCUACCGAUUGAAUGCUCAGGCGAGCCAUUCGGACUUUCAUCAUGCUGGUUUCCAGUUUUGAUGAAGGAAAGUCUUGCGAACCUUAUCAUUUAGAGGAAGGAGAAGUCGUAACA
rnacentral:rRNA from 1 species